rnacentral:misc_RNA from 1 species
AAGUCGUAACAAGGUUUCCGUAGGUGAACCUGCGGAAGGAUCAUUAUUGAAUAAACCUGAUGUGGUUGCUGCUGGCUCUCUCGAGAGUAUGUGCACGCCCGUCAUCUUUAUAUUUCCACCUGUGCACCUUUUGUAGACCCACAAGGCUUUCGAGUCGAAUGGGCCUAUGUUUUACCAUAUACCCCAAGUAUGUAACUGAAUGUAUCAAUGGGCCUUGUGCCUAUAAACAUUAUACAACUUUCAGCAACGGAUCUCUUGGCUCUC